AGGACGAACGCUGGCGGCGUGCUUAACACAUGCAAGUCGAGCGGAAAGGCCUUUCGGGGUACUCGAGCGGCGAACGGGUGAGUAACACGUGAGUAAUCUGCCCAUCGCUUCAGGAUAGCCAUCGGAAACGGUGAUUAAUACUGGAUAUGACAUUCCUUCGCAUGUUGGGUGUGGAAGUUUUUCGGCGUGGAUGUGCUCGCGGCCUAUCAGCUUGUUGGUGGGUAAUGGCCUACCAAGGCUUUGACGGGUAGCCGGCUGAGAGGGUCGACCGGCCACGACCGGGACUGAGACGACGGCCCAGACUCCGACGGGAGGCAGCGAGGUGGGGAAUUAGUUGGGAACAAGUGGGACGGAAGCCUAGGACUCCGAG
rnacentral:rRNA from 1 species